rnacentral:rRNA from 1 species
GGUGCAAGCGUUAUCCGGAUUUACUGGGUUUAAAGGGUGCGUAGGUGGGUCUGUAAGUCAGCCGUGAAAUCUCCGGGCUUAACCCGGAAACUGCCAUUGAUACUAUAGGUCUUGAAUUAUCUGGAGGUGAGCGGAAUAUGUCAUGUAGCGGUGAAAUGCUUAGAUAUGACAUAGAACACCAAUUGCGAAGGCAGCUCACUACGGAUAUAUUGACACUGAGGCACGAAAGCGUGGGGAUCAAACAGG